rnacentral:rRNA from 2 species
UAAGUUAACAAGGGCGCAUGGUGAAUGCCUUGGCACUAGGAGCCGAUGAAGGACGGGACUAACACCGAUAUGCUUCGGGGAGCUGUACGUAAGCUAUGAUCCGGAGAUUUCCGAAUGGGGCAACCCAGCAGUUUUAAUCAACUGUUACCACUAGAUGAAUUCAUAGUCUAGUUGGAGGUAAACGCUGUGAACUGAAACAUCUCAUUAGCAGCAGGAAUAUAAAGAAAUUUCGAUUCCCUAAGUAGCGGCGAGCGAACGGGGAACAGCCCAAACCAAAGUGCUUGCACUUUGGGGUUGUAGGACUGAACAUUUGAGUUACCAAAGAACUUGAUAGUCGAAGGAUUUGGGAAAAUCCGCCAUAGAUGGUGAUAGCCCAGUAGAUUAAAUCAAAUUCUCUCAGUUCAGGAUCCUGAGUACGGCGGAACACGUGAAAUUCCGUCGGAAUCCGGGAGGACCAUCUCCCAAGGCUAAAUACUACCUAGUGACCGAUAGUGAACCAGUACCGUGAGGGAAAGGUGAAAAGCACCCCGGGAGGGGAGUGAAAUAGUUCCUGAAACCAUGUGCCUACAAUAAGUCAGAGCGCGUUAAUGCGUGAUGGCGUGCCUUUUGUAGAAUGAACCGGCGAGUUAUGAUCCCGUGCAAGGUUAAGACUAAAAAGUCGGAGCCGUAGCGAAAGCGAGUCUGAAAUGGGCGUUUUGAGUACGAGGUUAUAGACCCGAAACCAGGUGACCUAUCCAUGUCCAGGUUGAAGGUGCGGUAAAACGCACUGGAGGACCGAACCCGUGUAAGUUGAAAAUUGCUGGGAUGAGGUGUGGAUAGCGGUGAAAUUCCAAACGAACUUGGAGAUAGCUGGUUCUCUCCGAAAUAGCUUUAGGGCUAGCCUCGGAAUUAGGAUCAUGGAGGUAGAGCACUAUUUGGACUAGGGGCCCGUCUUGGGUUACUGAAUUCAGAUAAACUCCGAAUGCCAUUGAUUCAUAUCCGGGAGUCAGACGAUGAGUGAUAAGAUCCACCGUCGAAAGGGGAACAGCCCAGACCAUCAGUUAAGGUCCCUAAAUGUAUGCUAAGUGGAAAAGGAUGUGGAGUUGCAUAGACAACUAGGAUGUUGGCUCAGAAGCAGCCACCAUUUAAAGAGUGCGUAAUAGCUCACUAGUCGAGUGAUCCUGCGCCGAAAAUGUACCGGGGCUAAGCAUACUACCGAAACCAUGGAUGCGACCAUUAGGUCGCGUGAUAGGAGAGCGUUCUAAGGGCGGUGAAGCAAGAUCGUGAGGACUUGUGGAGCGCUUAGAAGUGAGAAUGCCGGUAUGAGUAGCGAAAGAUAGGUGAGAAUCCUAUCCACCGAAUGACUAAGGUUUCCUGGGGAAGGCUCGUCCUCCCAGGGUUAGUCGGGACCUAAGUCGAGGCCGAGAGGCGUAGACGAUGGAUAACAGGUUGAGAUUCCUGUACUAGUUAAGUGCGUUUGAGCAAUGGAGGGACGCAGGAGGCUAAGAUGUGCAUUCUGUUGGAUUAGAAUGUCCAAGCAGUAAGUCUUGUGAAGAGUCAAAUGCUUUUCACUUUAAGGACAAGCUGUGAUGGGGAGCGAAAUUUAGUAGCGAAGCGUCUGAUGUCACACUGCCGAGAAAAGCUUCUAGUGAGUACUUAACUACCCGUACCGCAAACCGACACAGGUAGUCGAGGAGAGAAUCCUAAGGUGAGCGAGUGAACUCUCGUUAAGGAACUCGGCAAAAUGACCCCGUAACUUCGGGAGAAGGGGUGCUGAUCGCAAGAUCAGCCGCAGUGAAUAGGCCCAGGCGACUGUUUAUCAAAAACACAGGUCUCUGCAAAAUCGUAAGAUGACGUAUAGGGGCUGACGCCUGCCCGGUGCUGGAAGGUUAAAAGGAUGGGUUAGCUUCGGCGAAGCUCAGAAUUGAAGCCCCAGUAAACGGCGGCCGUAACUAUAACGGUCCUAAGGUAGCGAAAUUCCUUGUCGGGUAAGUUCCGACCCGCACGAAAGGCGUAACGAUCUGGGCACUGUCUCAACGAGAGACUCGGUGAAAUUAUAUUGUCCGUGAAGAUGCGGACUACCCGCGACAGGACGGAAAGACCCCAUGGAGCUUUACUGUAGCUUGAUAUUGAGUGUUUGUACAGCUUGUACAGGAUAGGUAGGAGCCAUAGAAACCGGAACGCUAGUUUCGGUGGAGGCGUUGGUGGGAUACUACCCUCGCUGUAUGACCACUCUAACCCGCACCACUAAUCGUGGUGGGAGACAGUGUCAGGUGGGCAGUUUGACUGGGGCGGUCGCCUCCUAAAAAGUAACGGAGGCGCCCAAAGGUUCCCUCAGAAUGGUUGGAAAUCAUUCGCAGAGUGUAAAGGCACAAGGGAGCUUGACUGCGAGACAGACAGGUCGAGCAGGGACGAAAGUCGGGCUUAGUGAUCCGGUGGUACCGUAUGGAAGGGCCAUCGCUCAACGGAUAAAAGCUACCCUGGGGAUAACAGGCUUAUCUCCCCCAAGAGUCCACAUCGACGGGGAGGUUUGGCACCUCGAUGUCGGCUCAUCGCAUCCUGGGGCUGUAGUCGGUCCCAAGGGUUGGGCUGUUCGCCCAUUAAAGCGGUACGCGAGCUGGGUUCAGAACGUCGUGAGACAGUUCGGUCCCUAUCCGUCGCGGGCGUAGGAAAUUUGAGAGGACCUGUCCUUAGUACGAGAGGACCGGGAUGGACAUACCUCUGGUGUACCAGUUGUGCCGCCAGGCGCAUCGCUGGGUAGCUACGUAUGGAUGUGAUAAACGCUGAAAGCAUCUAAGUGUGAAACACACCUCGAGAUGAGAUUUCCCAUUCCUUUAUGGAAGUAAGACCCCUGAAAGAUGAUCAGGUAGAUAGGUUAGAAGUGGCAGUGCGGUGACGCAUGAAGCGGACUAAUACUAAUCGGUCGAGGACUUAACCAAGU